GAUGAACGCUUGCGGCGUGCCUAAUACAUGCAAGUCGAACGAGUUCUCGUUGAUGAUCGGUGCUUGCACCGAGAUUCAACAUAGAACGAGUGGCGGACGGGUGAGUAACACGUGGGUAACCUGCCCUUAAGUGGGGGAUAACAUUUGGAAACAGAUGCUAAUACCGCAUAGAUCCAAGAACCGCAUGGUUCUUGGCUGAAAGAUGGCGUAAGCUAUCGCUUUUGGAUGGACCCGUGGCGUAUUAGCUAGUUGGUGAGGUAAUGGCUCACCAAGGCGAUGAUACGUAGCCGAACUGAGAGGUUGAUCGGCCACAUUGGGACUGAGACACGGCCCAAACUCCUUCGGGAGGCAGCAGUAGGGAAUCUUCCACAAUGGACGCAAGUCUGAUGGAGCAACGCCGCGUGAGUGAAGAAGGCUUUCGGGUCGUAAAACUCUGUUGUUGGGGAAGAAUGGUCGGCAGAGUAACUGUUGUCGGCGUGACGGUAUCCAACCAGAAAGCCACGGCUAACUACGUGCCAGCAGCCGCGGUAAUACGUAGGUGGCAAGCGUUAUCCGGAUUUAUUGGGCGUAAAGCGAGCGCAGGCGGUUUUUUAAGUCUGAUGUGAAAGCCCUCGGCUUAACCGAGGAAGCGCAUCGGAAACUGGGAAACUUGAGUGCAGAAGAGGACAGUGGAACUCCAUGUGUAGCGGUGGAAUGCGUAGAUAUAUGGAAGAACACCAGUGGCGAAGGCGGCUGUCUGGUCUGUAACUGACGCUGAGGCUCGAAAGCAUGGGUAGCGAACAGGAUUGGAUACCCUGGUAGUCCAUGCCGUAAACGAUGAAUGCUAGGUGUUUGAGGGUUUCCGCCCUUCAGUGCCGCAGCUAACGCAUUAAGCAUUCCGCCUGGGGAGUACGACCGCAAGGUUGAAACUCAAAGGAAUUGACGGGGGCCCGCACAAGCGGUGGAGCAUGUGGUUUAAUUCGAAGCAACGCGAAGAACCUUACCAGGUCUUGACAUCUUUUGAUCACCUGAGAGAUCAGGUUUCCCCUUCGGGGGCAAAAUGACAGGUGGUGCAUGGUUGUCGUCAGCUCGUGUCGUGAGAUGUUGGGUUAAGUCCCGCAACGAGCGCAACCCUUAUGACUAGUUGCCAGCAUUUAGUUGGGCACUCUAGUAAGACUGCCGGUGACAAACCGGAGGAAGGUGGGGAUGACGUCAAAUCAUCAUGCCCCUUAUGACCUGGGCUACACACGUGCUACAAUGGAUGGUACAACGAGUUGCGAGACCGCGAGGUCAAGCUAAUCUCUUAAAGCCAUUCUCAGUUCGGACUGUAGGCUGCAACUCGCCUACACGAAGUCGGAAUCGCUAGUAAUCGCGGAUCAGCACGCCGCGGUGAAUACGUUCCCGGGCCUUGUACACACCGCCCGUCACACCAUGAGAGUUUGUAACACCCGAAGCCGGUGGCGUAACCCUUUUAGGGAGCGAGCCGUCUAAGGUGGGACAAAUGAUUAGGGUG
rnacentral:rRNA from 2 species